rnacentral:tRNA from 1 species
GUGCCUAUAGCUCAAGGGCAGAGCUCCACUCUGUGGCAGUGGCGAUGCGGGUUCGAGUCCCGUUAGGCACCCA